rnacentral:tRNA from 1 species
GAAAUACGAGAUUCAAGUAUAAGCUUCUAACUUAAUACUUUAGCAGUGUAACUCUGUUAAUAUUUCU